UUCAGAAGCUUGUUCAAGGAAUAUGUAUGUGUAAACUUUCUGAGUUGUAACAUUGUUAGUUCUCUUUGGAAUUAUGUCAACCUCAGGGGGAGUAUCCUAAAGUAUACUUGCUUGAUCUUAAUAUACUCAUUUUUCCUACGAUUAAGAGCAUUUUUCCCUUUGGGUUUUUGCUACCUAUCGAGGUUUUGACGAGGUACUUACCUUAGGUUGAUCAUUUCCUUGAUGACGUCCCCUAGACGUUUCAUUUGACUAUGCAUUUUCUCACACAUGUUUCUUUAGACUAUGGGUUUUGUCCCUACUUGGGUUUUACCAUUGUCAUUGGGUUUUUUUU
rnacentral:lncRNA from 1 species